rnacentral:rRNA from 1 species
AUGAACGCUGGCGGCGUGCCUAAUACCUGCAAGUCGAACGCUGGAGAUCUAGCUUGCUAGAUCGAAGGAGUGGCGAACGGGUGAGUAAUACAUAAGCAACCUACCCACGAAGACUGGGAUAAUCUCUGGAAACGGGGACUAAUACCGGAUAGGUAAUCGGAAGGCAUCUUCUGGUUAUUAAAGGUUAAAAACACUGGUGGAUGGGCUUAUGGCGCAUUAGUUAGUUGGUGAGGUAACGGCCCACCAAGACGAUGAUGCGUAGCCGGCCUGAGAGGGUGAACGGCCACAUUGGGACUGAGACACGGCCCAGACUCCUACGGGAGGCAGCAGUAGGGAAUUUUCGGCAAUGGGGGCAACCCUGACCGAGCAACGCCGCGUGAGUGAAGACGGCCUUCGGGUUGUAAAGCUCUGUUGUAAGGGAAGAACGGUAGAUAGAGAAUAUCUAAGUGACGGUACCUUACCAGAAAGCCACGGCUAACUACGUG